GGGUGCGCAGGCGGCGCACUAAGUCAGUGGUGAAAGUUUGCAGCUUAACUGUAAAAUUGCCAUUGAUACUGGUAUGCUUGAAUAUGGUAGAGGUAGGCGGAAUGUGUAGUGUAGCGGUGAAAUGCUUAGAUAUUACACAGAACACCCAUUGCGAAGGCAGCUUACUAUGCCAUUAUUGACGCUGAGGCACGAAAGCGUGGGGAGCGAACAGGAUUAGAUACCCUGGUAGUCCACGCCGUAAACGAUGAUUACUGGUUGUGCGCGAUACACAGUGCGCGACUGAGGGAAACCAUUAAGUAAUCCACCUGGGGAGUACGUUCGCAAGAAUGAAACUCAAAGGAAUUGACGGGGGCCCGCACAAGCGGAGGAACAUGUGGUUUAAUUCGAUGAUACGCGAGGAACCUUACCUGGGCUUAAAUGUAGAGUGCAUGACUUGGAAACAGGUCUUUCCUUCGGGACUCUUUACAAGGUGCUGCAUGGUUGUCGUCAGCUCGUGCCGUGAGGUGUCGGGUUAAGUCCCAUAACGAGCGCAACCCCUAUCAUUAGUUGCCAGCGGAUCAUGCCGGGGACUCUAAUGAAACUGCCGGUGUAAACCGAGAGGAAGGUGGGGAUGACGUCAAAUCAGCACGGCCCUUAUGUCCAGGGCUACACACGUGUUACAAUGGCCAGUACAAUGGGCAGCUACCCCGCGAGGGGAUGCUAAUCUCCAAAGCUGGUCUCAGUUCGGAUUGGAGUCUGCAACUCGACUCCAUGAAGUUGGAUUCGCUAGUAAUCGUAUAUCAGCAAUGAUACGGUGAAUACGUUCCCGGGCCUUGUACACACCGCCCGUCAAACCAUGGAAGCUGGGGGUACCUGAAGUACGUUACCGCAAGGAGCGUCCUAGGGUAAAACUAGUGACUGGGGUUAAGUCGUAACAAGGUAGCCGUACCGGAAGGUGUGGCUGGAUCACCUCCUUCU
rnacentral:rRNA from 1 species